GUCCUCACUUCAGCAGCACAGAUACUAAAACUGGAACAAUAUAGAGAAGAUUAGCAUGGUCCCUGCUCAAGGAUGACAUGCAAAUUUGUGAAGUGUUGCAUAUUUUU